rnacentral:rRNA from 1 species
AGGACGAACGCUGGCGGCGUGCUUAACACAUGCAAGUCGAGCGGAAAGGCCUUUCGGGGUACUCGAGCGGCGAACGGGUGAGUAACACGUGAGCAAUCUGCCCAUCGCUUCAGGAUAGCCAUCGGAAACGGUGAUUAAUACUGGAUAUGACAUUCCUUCGCAUGUUGGGGUGUGGAAAGUUUUUUCGGCGGUGAUGUGCUCGCGCCUAUCAGCUUGUUGGUGGGGUAAUGGCCUACGAAGGUCUUUGGACGGGUAGCCGGUCCUGACGGAGGGUCGACCGGCCACACGUGGGACUGACGACGACGGCCCAGCUCGUACGGGAGC